GUCUACAGCCAUGCUACCCUGACCACACCCGAUCCCGUCUAAUCUAAGCAGGGUUGGGCCUGGUUAGUACUUGGAUGGGAGACCACCUAGCAAGACCUGUAGGUGCUGUAGGUG
rnacentral:rRNA from 1 species